AGACCGAUAGCGAACAAGUACCGUGAGGGAAAGAUGAAAAGCACUUUGGAAAGAGAGUUAAACAGUACGUGAAAUUGUUGAAAGGGAAACGAUUGAAGUCAGUCGUGACUGAGAGGCUCAGCCGGUUCUGCCGGUGUAUUCCCCUCAGUCGGGUCAACAUCAGUUUUGUUCGGUGGAUAAGGGCAGCUGGAAGGUGGCACCUCCGGGUGUGUUAUAGCCAGCUGUCGCAUACAUCGAAUGAGACUGAGGAAUGCAGCUCGCCUUUAUGGCCGGGGUUCGCCCACGUCCGAGCUUAGGAUGUUGACAUAAUGGCUUUAAACGACCCGUCUUGAAACACGGACCAAG
rnacentral:rRNA from 1 species